UUCCGGUUGAUCCUGCCGGAGGACAUUGCUAUUGGGAUUCGAUUUAGCCAUGCUAGUCGAACGAGUUCAGACUCGUGGCGAAUAGCUCAGUAACACGUGGCCAAGCUCCCCUUCAGUCAGCGAUACCCUCGGGAAACUGAGGUUAACAGCUGAUACAAAACGCCAGCUGGAAUGCGGCGUUUCAGAAAGACAUCGCUGAAGGAUGCGGCUGCGGCCGAUUAGGUAGACGGCGGGGUAACGGCCCACCGUGUCAGUAAUCGGUACGGGUGAUGAGAGUCAGAGCCCGGAGACGGAAUCUGAGACAAGAUUCCGGGCCCUACGGGGCGCAGCAGGCGCGAAACCUUUACACUGCACGGAAGUGCGAUAGGGGAAUCCCAAGUGCGAGGGCAUAUUAGCCCUCGCUUUUCUCGACUGUAAGGUGGUCGACGAAUAAGAGCUGGGCAAGACCGGUGCCAGCCGCCGCGGUAAUACCGGCAGCUCAAGUGAUGUCCCAUAUUAUUGGGCCUAAAGCGUCCGUAGCUGGCCGACCAAGUCUACCGGGAAAUCCACCCGCCCAACGGGUGGGCGUCCGGUAGAAACUGGCCGGCUUGGAACCGGAAGGCUCAGAGAGUACGUCCGGGGUAGGAGUGAAAUCCCGUAAUCCCGGACGGACUACCGAUGGCGAAAGCACUCUGAGAAGACGGCUUCGACAGUGAGGGGCGAAAGCUCGGGUCUCAAACCGGAUUAGAUACCCCGGUAGUC
rnacentral:rRNA from 1 species